UACAGAGGGGGCUAGCGUUAUUCGGAAUUAUUGGGCGUAAAGGGCGCGUAGGCGGCUUGCGUGUCUUCCGUGAAAUCCCUCGGCUCAACCGAGGACGUGCGGAAGAAACUGCAAGGCUCGAGUCCGGAAGAGGGGGGCGGAAUUCCCAGUGUAGCGGUGAAAUGCGUAGAUAUUGGGAGGAACACCAGUGGCGAAGGCGGUCCCCUGGGCCGGAACUGACGCUGAGGCGCGAAAGCGUCGGGUA
rnacentral:rRNA from 1 species